rnacentral:rRNA from 1 species
CCCGCUGAACUUAAGCAUAUCAGUAAGCGGAGGAAGAGAAACCAACAGGGGAUUCCCGUAGUAACGGCGAGUGAACUGGGAUCAGUCCAGCGCUGAAUCUCCUUGCCUUGUGCUUGGCGAACUGUAGCGUAUAGGUUGGUGCAAUCUCUCCAUUUGGUGUCGGCUGAAGUUUUCCUUGAAUGGAAUUCCAUAGAAGGUGUAAGGCCUGUUCAGUUUGGUGCCUUUUGGGGAAGCAUUGAUCUUGGAGUCGGGUUGCUUGGGAACGCAGCUCAAAGCAGGCGGUUUACUUCACCUAAGACUAAAUAUGUCCACGAGUCCGAUAGCAAAUAAGUACCGUGAGGGAAAGUUGCAAAGUACUUUGAAGAGAGAGUUAACAGCACGUGAAACCGGUGGGGUGGAAACGGACAGGGCCGAUGUUCUUACCCGCAUUCAGCAGAUCGCUGGUUGGUUCCAGUAACGUGUUCUGUUCGAACUGCGUGAACGCCCAGCAAACAUUGGUUUGUGCACUUGCAGGCAGAGAGCGCUGAGAGGCGUUCCGCGGUGAUCGUUGGAGACUUGUCUAAUGGGCACUCAGGUGUUCCAAUUCAUUUCAACGGCUUUCACAUGGGCGUCAUCAUUGUGGAAGGUUCGACACCGAUCGCUUGUUGCUCACUUUCAGUUGCAUAUGUGAAUGCAUGCAUUUGCUUUGCUUCUGUUACGAUGGCAUUCGGUCAGUCUUGCUUUUCUCUCGGCGUUAAGUUGGUCACCUAUCCGACCCGUCUUGAAACACGG